rnacentral:lncRNA from 1 species
GCUAGACUAUAUCUAAAAAAAGAGCAGCAGCUAAGAAGAGGAUGGAACAAUUCCUUUCGAAAAAACGAAAAAACAAGCAACUUUCCUCCAUGGGAAUUAGCUGAACUUCAGACCUAAGACCCAUCUUCUCCAUUUGCAUUUUUGUACAAAAAUGUACCUGUAGUAGAUAGUACCCAAAAAUAGUAGCUAAGAAUGACAAGUUUCUAUUCCCAUCACACAUAAACAAACCCCGUUUUCCACCAUUAGAAGGACCUUUCUUUUUCUGCCAAACUCCAUACUAAAACCAGUUGAACCACUCCGAAAUUCCAGCCCAUAAUCACCCCUUUUGAAAUGCCACUAUUUCAGCCAUUAACCCCCAAAGCAUCGACGAAAACUCAGGCUGGAAACACCUCUUAAACCACCCAAAAAACGUAGCAAACUUCAGUCACAAAUAAGCACCAAAGACCCAUAAAAUCCAGCCAUGAACUCCACAAAAACUCGGCUGGAAAACAGUGGAAACAGACCCAUAAAUAGCCAAUCUGUUACUUUCAAUGUUGACAUCUAUGGCAGUGGGAUUCAGUCAAAUUCGAGUUCGCGAUGAGGUUGCGAACUCCAGUCGGUGGUCAGUCUCCUACACUUUGUUCACCUUUGGAGUGCCGAUGUAACAAGCCAAAUUUGACAAUCAAUAUAAAGGUCCAUCUUCCCAUUUCAUUUCUAGUUCUGUAUAAUUCUCGUUCAGAUUUCGUGAAUGUUCCGUUUGAUAUUUUGUUAGUCUUCCUAUUUACUUAUUAAGCCAAUAUGGAAUUUAUUUUCUUUGCUUUAGUCUA